GGUUGCCACGGACCUUCAAGAGGUAAACGGAACUAUUGUUUUGAAAAAUGCAAAGCUCAAAAUGGUGGAACUAUUGAAUCACACAUUUACUCUUGGUUUUGGGUGAGGACGUCUUCCCACAAGAAAUUUUGGACCAAAUGCAUUGAUUACAAAAUGAAGGAAAACGACACUUUUGUGUGGUAUAAGUUAAUCGGAAACAGUGAAUCGCCGAUCGAGGGUCGGUGCGAUAGAACAGGAAAAGCACUCUUGUACGGUGGGAUGCUGGUUAUUCCAGAUAAUACGACGGCAGCAAAAACUCCUUUAAUCGAUGGUAUGAUUGUGUACCGUCAGGACACG